UAAAACUUGACCAGAAGUAAAAAAAAUAAAACAAAAAUUUAAUGGUAGUCAUGCAGAACUUCAAUUGAGUAUAGAUUAGUCAAAAACGAGCUAGCUGUGCUAAAGUUCAGUGCCAGUGACGUUGAGCUUAAAAAAUAGAAAAUAGAAUAGAAAAAGAUGAAAUGGCAACACAUUUGGCAGAAUGAUGUCCAAGGAAAUCGAUGGGAACAUCAAAGGGUCAGAAACAAGAGAAUAAAGCGUGAAGGUGUUCAAAGCCCACCUACCCACUUGCAAUGAAGGUUGAGCGAGACGCAAUAAGUUUUAAAUGAUAAUUGGAGGGUCUUUCUUUUUUUUUUCUUCGCUCAAUGAAAAAGGAGAUAAACAAAAUUGCAAUAAUUCAUGUCUUUUAAUAACGAUAUUAAUUAGACAACUCGAAAAGGUAUGUGGGUCGAAAGGCGUGUGGGGAACUCAAGAGGGCAAUCAGAAAGUAAAGCCAACGUGUUUUAUAAUACGAUGGGGAAAGCGAGGGAUGGAUCAAUCCAACCAACAGCGACCAGUACAAGGGAAUUUCUCUACGUAAAAAAAUGCUAAAGGCCGCUAAAGGGCUGAUCCAUCCAACGGAAAACAAACACUUAAAGUAAUCCAGUCAUUCGUCCAAAAACUUUUCUGAGAAUUCGCAGUUUUAACAGCGUUCUUACGCAUCUAUCCAAACGAACCUUAUUUUUUUUUCUUCUUCAUCGAACGAAUCAUACAAAAAACAUCAAAAAAAGCGAUUAAUCAAUUCAAUGGUGCAUCAACAACUCUUUCUGUACAAGUGUUGCUUCAUAAAGAGGGUUAAACGACUUUACUUCUUGGGAACAGUCUGACGAUUCUGAAAGGCCAUCAUGCUGCCGAUGUAUUGGCACAGAUACUCGCUUUCUCGACUAAUGUUUUCAGAUUCCUGUUUGUUUUGAUCGAUCUCAUCCAACAAAGCUAUCAAUUGUUAGUCUUUUCUUUCUCCAAAACGCACCGCCAUCGUACCUUGCAAUUGCUGUUGCAAUUCCAUCGCUUUCCUAUCAAUUUAGCAAAGAACUAGCAAAACCACUUACUGCUCCAUCAAACUUCUUGGCAAGGAAUCUGUACUCAUUGAGUAAUGCGCUUUUUUUGUUUUUUUGCGGAAAAUGGGAGGUUGGGAAGUGUCUUACCAGCGUAGCGUCAAUACAUGUCAUUUCCCAUUGCUGUGACUUAGGGGUGUCACUCAAUUUAAAGAGGCCACUGCAAGAGACAUUAUCCUUAAUUGAGUUGAGUAUUGCUAUACGCAAUAUUUAAAUAGCGUUUUAUGUCAUAAUACGUUUUAUUAGCGAACGGAUUACAUUGGAGUACGCAACUGAUGGGUCUUGCAAUAAACAAAUAUACAUAGGGCGAAAACUAGAAUGAGUGCUGCUGUCUUUUGGAUGAAUAAGUUAAAUAUGGAACAUACUAAUAAUGGAUCCACACAUUAAUAAACUGGAAAAAGAUCCCGUCCCGUAAGGAUAAAUCGAGGAGAGAAAGCUUGCGUCUGUGCCCUAAUUAUGUUUUGAAAAACAUGAAAUGCACACUUCAUACACCAGGAUGCGAAAGUCUUUCAACAAUUUACAUGGGAAAAAAAGAAAAUAAUAAUCUAAUAGAACUCCGUUCCAAAAUAUGGAACGUUGGUACAAAUGAUGCGUUUAGGGCGAUUGGAAGAGGCAUACAAUAGAUGCUUCUUCCCUCCAUUAUGCAACGGAAAGGUCGACGGUUCAAAAAUGAAUUUAAAUAAAAGAUGUGUUAUGAAAAAUGCUUUAUGGUAACAGGAAAAAAAAUGCUAUUCCUCUUUUCCCAUUCCAUAGUUUUUAUUCUCACACUAUCACCAGUCAUGAAUAUUUUACAUCGAAAAAAUAACGGGUAGAGCGAUAUAUAUGCGCAAACUAAAAGAGAGUAUACAAAAAAGUAAUCAUGUUCUUUAUCGGAUUAGUUCUUGUCAAUAUUAGUAUUAGCAUUCAAAAAAUAGUCCGAUUAUCAUUUUACUGAGACGUCUCUGGUUUCUCCUCAGGUUUCUCUUCCGCAGCUGAAGCAUUUGCAAGAGCCGACUCUUCUUCUUCUUCCUCUAUAUCAAUUUCUUCUUCUUCUUCUUCUUCCGAUCCUUUCCCAUCAUUUUCUCCUUCUCCAUCACCAUCACCUUCUCCAUCACCGUCUCCAUCGUCUUCCUCCUCCUCCUCCUCAUCGCCUUCUCCCUCUUCAUCGAAUUCUUCCUCCAUUUCAUCAGCUUCCUCCUCUUCUUCCUCUUCGUCCGCGUCAGGCUGAACUGGUGGAGCAUCGUCAAAGUCGGGAUUAUCCCACUGAAUGUUGAAUCGAGUCACCCUUGGCUUUUCUGCUAAAAUACUGCGCCAGACUUUAGAAAUGUCAACCUUGACCUUUUUAAUUUCUGCAUCGUCCAUUUCCUGAAGGUUCAGGCCCUCCAUCUCAUUGUUGACAUAAUAACCUACUCGAACAAACUCAUUAUCCUCAUAUGCACAAGAGAGUAAAAUAACUGUGACACCCAAAACAUCGCUGAGUUGAGGUAAAAGAUCGAUAUUAGGAGGAUCAGCUUCAAAAACGAAUUUAUUAAUCCCGAUUGGUAUAGGUCCCACUAGUAGCGUGUCCAAAAUUUGGUCGUAACUUUGAGACGUCGCACUACCUACAUAUGUCAACUUCCAUUCCAGGUCGCUUUUUAACGGCUCCAGACAUUCAAAGGUAAUUUCGAAUUUAUAUGGAUCAGAGAACUUUGCCGGAUUAUUUAGCACAUUAACACUAAGGAUAUUCACGAUUGACAUUUCGAAGUGAAACGCGUCUAAGCGAUUGCCAAGAACAGCGUAGGUGAAGAAAGGUUUCGUAGAGUUCGGAUAAUUAAGGAUACGCUUGACUAUUUUAUAUCGCUUUUCGUGCUCUAAGGUAAUAACACCUAUUUGAUUCAAACAUAUAAGGAUUAAAAUGCAGUAAAUAUAAAUACUGAAGGCACAUCUAAACAAUGCCUCACUAUUCGGUAAACAAUAGAAAACAUAACCAUUGUUAAGUAUUUUAUGCGAAAGUACGAAGAACUUACAGAGCAGUUUAGUUAAACAUAACCGUUGUUUAAUAAAA
rnacentral:lncRNA from 1 species